rnacentral:lncRNA from 1 species
AAAGGAUAUCUAAUCGAGAGAUUAAAUUAAAGAGAGAUUCCCUACAAUAGUGAGAUACUCUAUAUGCUCUUUUUGAAUAAAACAAAGCUUCAGGAUUUUCCAGGUCCUCCUUAAUGAGAUUGAUAGCUACUCAAACAAAAUUGACUAUUUACAUAUGAAAAAUUAAAUGAAUCUUCACUAUCUAGGCUGUAACACAUAGUUGGAGGGACAACCUAGUAUAUGUCUUUGGGUACAUGUAUCUUGGGACAGAUGCCAUUGUUGUUCAUCUGUCUUUUCAAAGAAGACCAAUAACAUCAUGAUGUGAUUUCUUGACUUGUCCAUGAUUUGAAUUUAAGUGAAGCAGAGUUACACAAAAUCACUAGCCUUAUUUUCUAUUCCAGAGACAUGUUAGGAUAACUGGUAAUGACCAAGGAUGCAAUCGAUGACUUUGGGACAGUGGAUAGCCUUGAUGUCUUUGAUGUCUAACCAAGCGAUCUUAAAAGGAUGAAAGAUUUAAAGGCUGGGUAAACUCUGAUCUAUUGGAGAAAUUAGAAGAAGCCAGCAUGCUCUGCAGAAAUGUUGGAUUAUAGCCACAUGAGGAAAGAGUCUGUUGACAUCUUCCUGUGCUGAGGGAGCCUGGAAUAUGAUAUUCUGGGAGGCAAAGGAGAUAGGAGAUAAUCAAGAAUUAUCUAUCCAGCAAAAGCUCUGCAACCUAUUUUUCUAGUGGAAUAACCUGGGGAAUAUGUUUCUGAAAGUCUUGAAGGUGAAAAACAAAAAGUCUUUGUAACAACAGAAAGAGAAAUAAAAAAUCAAAUGAACAU